rnacentral:rRNA from 1 species
GUCGAACGGUAGAGGGGGCAACCCCUCGAGAGUGGCGAACGGGUGAGUAAUAUAUCGGAACGUGCCCAGUCGUGGGGGAUAACGUAGCGAAAGUUACGCUAAUACCGCAUACGAUCUACGGAUGAAAGCGGGGGACCGUAAGGCCUCGCGCGAUUGGAGCGGCCGAUAUCAGAUUAGGUAGUUGGUGGGGUAAAGGCUCACCAAGCCAACGAUCUGUAGCUGGUCUGAGAGGACGACCAGCCACACUGGAACUGAGACACGGUCCAGACUCCUACGGGAGGCAGCAGUGGGGAAUUUUGGACAAUGGACGCAAGUCUGAUCCAGCCAUUCCGCGUGCAGGAUGAAGGCCCUCGGGUUGUAAACUGCUUUUGUACGGAACGAAAAGGUCUCUCUUAAUACGAGGGGCUCAUGACGGUACCGUAAGAAUAAGCACCGGCUAACUACGUGCCAGCAGCCGCGGUAAUACGUAGGGUGCAAGCGUUAAUCGGAAUUACUGGGCGUAAAGCGUGCGCAGGCGGUUAUGUAAGACAGAGGUGAAAUCCCCGGGCUCAACCUGGGAACUGCCUUUGUGACUGCAUAGCUAGAGUACGGUAGAGGGGGAUGGAAUUCCGCGUGUAGCAGUGAAAUGCGUAGAUAUGCGGAGGAACACCGAUGGCGAAGGCAAUCCCCUGGACCUGUACUGACGCUCAUGCACGAAAGCGUGGGGAGCAAACAGGAUUAGAUACCCUGGUAGUCCACGCCCUAAACGAU